UACGGAGGGGACUAGCGUUGUUCGGAAUUACUGGGCGUAAAGCGCACGUAGGCGGAUUUGUAAGUCAGGGGUGAAAUCCCGGGGCUCAACCUCGGAACUGCCUUUGAUACUGCAAAUCUCGAGUCCGGAAGAGGUGAGUGGAAUUCCUAGUGUAGAGGUGAAAUUCGUAGAUAUUCGGUGGAACACCAGUGGCGAAGGCGACUCACUGGCCCGAUACUGACGCUGAGGCGCGAAAGCGUGGGGAGCAAACAGG
rnacentral:rRNA from 1 species